GCGAGCUAACAACAACGGCAAACAAAACGCAAGCGCAAACGGCAAAGGCAAAGCCAAUCGCAUUCGCGACGUGCUUAGAAUUUUGUUAUUGUUACGAUUUUGUUUGAGAUGAGUUAGAACUUAAUGUGGAGUUCGUUUGGGCGAAGUAAAACGAGAGAGGGAGAGCGAGCGUACGAACGAAAGAUAGAGAGUCGAGAAUUCAAGGAGCACAAAAAGUGAGAGCGUGAGCGCGGGAGUGUGUGCAUACGUGUAUGCCUGUGCCUUUGUGUGCGUCUGCGACUGCGUCUGCGUCUGUGUGUGUGUGUGUGAGAUCAAGAUCUACUACGGACAGCAGCUAGCUGCAGCUUCUCAUCGCCUGGCUGCAACAGUUACGAUUCGUGCGCGUCGCUUGCAACAUCAAAUUGUUUUUCGGUUUCCGUUUCGGCUUCCAUUUGUUGUGUUGUGUUGUGUUGUGCUGUGUGUAACUGUGUGUGUGGGAAAAAAUGCAACAAAAAUGUGUGUCCAUUAGUUGUAAACGUUUUGGCGCUUGUAAUUGGCGGCAGCUGCUUUUGUUUUGCCUUUAAGAGCAACCAACAGUGAAACAGUGAACUACAGCGACAGCAGCAACAGCAGCGACAGCAGCAGCUGAAAGCAAAUGCAUUCAAGGUGCGCUUAAUUAACAUGCAAUUGGCAACAGCAACAGCAACAGCAACAGGCAAGCAGCAGCAACAACGGCGAGAGGCUAACGACAACAGCACGUCAAAGAGCGCAAUCACAGUUAUCAAAAGAAACUAAAAUUGCCGGUAGGCAGCAACAGCAACAU
rnacentral:sRNA from 1 species